GAUGAGCGCUGGCGGUAUGCUUAACACAUGCAAGUCGAACGGACUCUUCGGAGUUAGUGGCGGACGGGUGAGUAACGCGUGAGAAUCUGGCUUUGGGUUCGGGACAACCACUGGAAACGGUGGCUAAUACCGGAUGUGCCGAGAGGUAAAAGAGAAAUUGCCUGAAGAUGAGCUCGCGUCUGAUUAGCUAGUUGGUGAGGUAAAGGCUCACCAAGGCAGCGAUCAGUAGCUGGUCUGAGAGGAUGACCAGCCACACUGGGACUGAGACACGGCCCAGACUCCUACGGGAGGCAGCAGUGGGGAAUUUUCCGCAAUGGGCGAAAGCCUGACGGAGCAGUACCGCGUGAGGGAAGAAGGCUCUUGGGUUGUAAACCUCUUUUCUUAGGGAAGAACAAAAUGACGGUACCUAAGGAAUCAGCAUCGGCUAACUCCGUG
rnacentral:rRNA from 1 species